GGGAAUGUGGCUUAGUGGUAGAGAGCUUGCCCAGCAUGCAUGAAGCCCUGGGUUCGAUUCCUCAGUCCCA
rnacentral:tRNA from 1 species